ensembl:snoRNA
CCUUCACUGAUGAGGAACCGAUUGACUUUCGUUCUUCUGAGCUGGCUGAAGCCACUUGUAUUGACCUGAGGAGG